CGGCAAGAUGUGUGUUGUAGGCCUACGCUGCUUCGCAGCUAUGGCCUCCACCACCGCCCCUUACUCGCCUGCGGCUCGACGGCAUCUUGCUCUGCGAGGCU
rfam:Bordetella hinzii strain F582, complete genome.